AAAUGAUGUUGAUAUCUGGAAUUUGCUUUAAAAUAAUUCAGCAUGUUUGGAGGAUUACAGACGAGACAAGAAUUGCCAUACGUUGAUAAUUAUUGAAGCUGGAUAAUAGCUUUCCCUUUCCAUAGGCAUCCACAAGUACUAUGAGCAAUACUUGUGAAACCAUCCUGAAAUACUACAUGCUCAUAAAAUGCCACAGCUCUCCUGAAGGGAUUAAGACUUUCUGUGUGAAAAAUGGUAUUCAGA
rnacentral:lncRNA from 1 species